GACGAACGCUGGCGGCGUGCCUAACACAUGCAAGUCGAGCGGAGACAUAUUUUGAAGAGGAAGUUUUUGGAUGGAAUUGGAAAGAUAUGUUUUAGCGGCGGACGGGUGAGUAACGCGUGAGCAAUCUGUCCUUCACAGGGGGAUAACACAGCGAAAGUUGUACUAAUACCGCAUAAGACCACAGAGUCACAUGACACAGGGGUCAAAGGAGCAAUCCGGUGAAGGGUGAGCUCGCGUCCGAUUAGAUAGUUGGUGAGGUAACGGCCCACCAAGUCGACGAUCGGUAGCCGACCUGAGAGGGUGAUCGGCCACAUUGGGACUGAGACACGGCCCAAACUCCUACGGGAGGCAGCAGUGGGGAAUAUUGGGCAAUGGGGGGAACCCUGACCCAGCAACGCCGCGUGAGGGAAGAAGGUUUUCGGAUCGUAAACCUCUGUCCUUGGUGAAGAGAAAGAGAUCGUGCC
rnacentral:rRNA from 1 species